CUCUUUUCCUCCAAGAGGAAGAUCUUCAGCCCCUACCUCAGGGGACUACUAUGAACUUGACUGAGAGAGUGAUCCGUGCAGAGGAACCUAUAUGUAAGCAGCUUUGAGAACCUAAUAGAAAUACGCCACUGCCUGACCACAGCUACUGGAUUUGUCCCCAUCCCCUACAUCACUGGACAAAACUGCCCUCAAAAUCUAGGAAUUAAAAGAAGACAUUUGGAACUUAUAUGAAGAAAACAGCAAGGACCAGAAAAGAAAACACACAGAUCUACCUACUGCCCCGCGAAGGAAGGAGGCCAAGACGGUAGGAUCCAGGAGGACAGGAGAUAUCCUGACUUAAAGCUUUUCUUAAAGACCAGGAUAUCUUAACUUCAGUUGCAUGUCCCCGUGAAACUCCCGAGGAAUAGCACAGCACUCGAGCUGCAAUGGUGCUCUGCGAGGGAUGCAAUUCCACUUCAGAGGCAACCACGAUAUUUCAUUUUAAGGCUGCAUUGUGUGUGUCUUGCCUCAAAUGCAUGAGGCCAUGGGGUGGGUUUCCCAGCACGUCAUAGACUGGGUUGGUGACACACAUCUAUAAUCCCAAUGCUCGAGGUGGGGGGGUGGACUCGGGAGCUGGGCCCUCAAGGGCUAUCCUCAGCCACACAGCAAGUUCGAAGCCAGCCUAGGACACUUGGGACACUAUCCCGGAACACAGUUUGCUUUGCUAUUUUAUCAAUGAGUUCCUGAAAAUUCUAAAGAUAGCCAGCCAGUAGCUUAUUGAAAACUAUCACCUGUUUUAGAUGCUUUGUUAACAAGCAUGACUUGUCAAACCUCCUCCCAGAUAUAAAGUUGUCUUAGUUAUUUUGUGUUUUGAAACAGGGUCUCUCCAUAGAUCCCACACUCGCCUGGACCUCCAUGGGUAGCCUAGGCUAAGUGUGAACCAGUGGUCUUCUUGGCUUAGACUCCCGUGUGCUGGAAACACAGGCCUGUACCACCACUUCCAGAUUAGAUCUGAAGUUCUGGACAGCCACAAGGUCCUACAUAUUUUCGAUAGAACGUAAUUCCAAUUUAGAAAUUACUUUGUGACACAUUAUUUUUUUUAUUUUUAAUUUAUUUAUUAUCUAUAAGUUCACUGUAGCUGUCUUCAGACACACCAGAAGAGGGCAUCGGAUCUCAUUACAGAUGGUUGUGAGCUGCCAUGUGGUUGCUGGGAAUUGAACUCAGGACCUCUGGAAGAGCAGCUGGCACUCUUAACCACUGAGCCAUCUCUCCAGCCUGUGACACAUUAUUUUGUAAAUACCUUGUAAAACUAUUUUUAAUGGAAAAAAAUAACUGGAAAGCCAAUUUCAAUCAAUUCUAUCUGCCUACAUUAACAUGGGGUAAAAUUCGUUGUAGAGAUGAGAUGUUUUUUCUUCUGGUGCACACAUUUUAAGGUGGAUGGGUUAUUUCAGUUUGUACCUAGUUGACAUGAGAGAAAGAGGAAACCCCAUCCAUCGGAAGAGACCGGAACUAAC
ensembl:lncRNA